AGCUCCAAUAGCGUAUAUUAAAGUUGUUGCAGUUAAAAAGCUCGUAGUUGGAUUUGUGGCUGUCGCCUGCGGCUCGGCAUUCGUGCCGGUGCUUGCUAGCGUCGCCAUCCUUGGGUGGAACCUGUGUGGCAUUAGGUUGUCGUGCAGGGGAUGCCCAUCGUUUACUGUGAAAAAUUAGAGUGUUCAAAGCAGGCUUAUGCCGUUGAAUAUAUUAGCAUGGAAUAAUAAGAUAGGACCUUGGUACUAUUUUGUUGGUUUGCGCACCAAGGUAAUGAUUAAUAGGGACAGUUGGGGGUAUUCGUAUUCCAUUGUCAGAGGUGAAAUUCUUGGAUUUUUGGAAGACGAACUACUGCGAAAGCAUUUACCAAGGAUGUUUUCA
rnacentral:rRNA from 1 species